rnacentral:rRNA from 1 species
UAGGGAAUCUUCGGCAAUGGGGGGAACCCUGACCGAGCAACGCCGCGUGAGUGAAGAAGGUUUUCGGAUCGUAAAGCUCUGUUGUUAAGGAAGAACGAGUGUGAGAAUGGAAAGUUCAUACUGUGACGGUACUUAACCAGAAAGGGACGGCUAACUACGUGCCAGCAGCCGCGGUAAUACGUAGGUCCCGAGCGUUGUCCGGAUUUAUUGGGCGUAAAGCGAGCGCAGGCGGUUAGAUAAGUCUGAAGUUAAAGGCAGUGGCUCAACCAUUGUAGGCUUUGGAAACUUUUUAACUUGAGUGCAGAAGGGGAGAGUGGAAUUCCAUGUGUAGCGGUGAAAUGCAUGGAUAUAUGGAGGAACACCGGUGGCGAAAGCGGCUCUCUGGUCUGUAACUGACGCUGAGGCUCGAAAGCGUGGGGAGCGAACAGG